rnacentral:rRNA from 1 species
CAGUAGCCGCGGGAAUACGGAGGGUGCAAGCGUUAUCCGGAUUUAUUGGGUUUAAAGGGUCCGUAGGCGGACUUAUAAGUUAGUGGUGAAAGCCUGUCGCUUAACGAUAGAACUGCCAUUGAUACUGUAAGUCUUGAGUAUAUUUGAGGUAGCUGGAAUAAGUAGUGUAGCGGUGAAAUGCAUAGAUAUUACUUAGAACACCAAUUGCGAAGGCAGGUUACCAAGAUAUAACUGACGCUGAGGGACGAAAGCGUGGGUAGCGAACAGGAUUAGAUACCCCAGUAGUCCCUGUCUCUUAUAA